CACCCCCAAGGGAACGGGGCAUGUGAGCGGUUAACCCAAACAAUUCUGGGAUUGCUGAGCUCGCUGGAUCCCACAGACCACCCGCGAUGGCAUCACAAACUUCCAGCCCUGAUACAAGUUUAUAAUAACUCUGUCCAUGCAAGCACAGGGAUGACCCCCCACUUUGUUCUGUUUGGACGCCAUGCCAGACUACCGAUUGACAUGAUCCAUGGAGUGACCCCGCCCCAGCGGCGAGGUGACCUCGAAGAAUGGGUCCACCAGCACCAUAAUACCCUGAUGGACGCUUACGCCCGAGUGUAGCGAAACGUCUCCCGCCGGCAGGCGUGGGACCAGAAACGGUACAAUAGACGGGCAUUGGCUGUUCCUCUGCUACCUGGCGAGCGAGUGCUGAUCAAGAACUUCCGCAGAAGGGCGCGGGGGAAACUGACAUCAAGGUGGCUUCCCACACCUUAUGUUGUGCUAGACCGACCCCGGCCAGAACAGCCCGUCUACCUCAUUCGUCCGGAAGUGGAAGAAGGGCCCACUCGCACUUUGCAUCGGAACAACCUCCGCCCAUGCCCAGCAGGAGUGCUGGGCAGCCCGCAGGUACAAGAGGAAGGCCCACCUGUGGCCAAUGUGGAUGUCCCGCCCCAGUUCAAUCUUCCCAGUUUCCUAGUGCCCCCGUGCCCCUCCCGUCCAGCCGUCACUGGUGUCUCGCCUAGGGCAGUACACGCUACCCCCCGGUCGUUUUUCCCCUAUACAAUCCACCUCCAUUCCCAUAGGUCCUCCAAGGCCUUCCUUAAGCAUCCCCACAAUGAUGCCUCCUCACCCCCCUACUGCCCAACCCUUUGAGUUAGGGACCCAAGGUAGGACCACUGGGGGGGGACCAGGGUUAGUAAGUGAUAGGAAUGUUGUUAACAAUGAUUCGUUGUUGAUUAAUGAUAGGAAUGUUGUUAAUUAUGGUCCGCUGUUGGUUGAUGAUGAGGAUGUUGUGUUAAAUGAUGAGGUAUCCGUGUCCACUGAUUCGGAAGCGGACCAGCACACAAUGGGGCCUCGUCGCUCCCAGCGAAGCAACUUUGGGAAGAGACCAGGAAAUAAAAGGGGCGAAAACAUGGAGUUCGAGGCGCUCCUCAGCCCGAGGACACGAGGAUUUAUGCCUGGACGCCGACAACCCGGACCGCUCAUCACUACCCGGACCGCUCAUCACUACCCGCUACCUCCAGAGGACUACGCAACCAGACUUCGCAAGCCAGGAAGGACCUUUCGGGCGUACCGUCGUUUCCCUACAACGCCUGCGAGUCCCGGUAGAAAGGGACGUACUCUAGCGUAAGCGUGAGUAAGUCGGAUUCCUUAACGUCUAAUCACCCUGACGCAUCGUUUUGUCUGUUCUGUCUAGAGGAUCUGGUGCAGGUCUUCUGGUCCGCUCCGGCCUCCGUGACCAGCGAGGGACGGCGCCAGCGGACGGAUCUCCACUCAACAUCCUAGAGCACUGUUUAUUUGGUUUGCUUUGUUUUUCCAACUCGCCGUUUGAGGAACUGGUCUGGCGCGAGUUGGAACAAACGUUUUUAUACUCUUUUACUGUUUGUUGUCUGUUAUAGGGAUAUUUUAUCAACAAGUCUGUCCUCCUUGUAUGGGACCCCUAUAAACCAGGGGGUGGCUACGGCAGGCCCUGUUGGAUACCAGGCUGAAUUGUUCAGUGAGCCCUUCCUUCUGUGUUCUUGAG
ensembl:lncRNA